rnacentral:rRNA from 1 species
GACGUAGGGGGCAAGCGUUGUCCGGAAUUAUUGGGCGUAAAGAGCUCGUAGGCGGCUUGUCACGUCGGAUGUGAAAGCCCGGGGCUUAACCUCGGGUCUGCAUUCGAUACGGGCAGGCUAGAGUGUGGUAGGGGAGAUCGGAAUUCCUGGUGUAGCGGUGAAAUGCGCAGAUAUCAGGAGGAACACCGGUGGCGAAGGCGGAUCUCUGGGCCAUUACUGACGCUGAGGAGCGAAAGCGUGGGGAGCGAACAGG